rnacentral:rRNA from 1 species
CCUACGGGUGGCAGCAGUGAGGAAUAUUGGUCAAUGGGCUUACGCCUGAACCAGCCAAGUCGCGUGAGGGAAGACUGCCCUAUGGGUUGUAAACCUCUUUUGUCAGGGAGCAAUUUGCGCUACGUGUAGCGUUAUCGAGAGUACCUGAAGAAUAAGCAUCGGCUAACUACGUGCCAGCAGCCGCGGUAAUUCGUAGGUGGCAAGCGUUAUCCGGAGUUACUGGGUGUAAAGGGCGAGUAGGCGGGAUUGCAAGUCAGAUGUGAAAACUAUGGGCUCAGCCGAUAGAGUGCAUUUGAAACUGCAGUUCUUGAGUGAUGGAGAGGAAGGCGGAAUUCCAGGUGUAGCGGUGGAAUGCGUAGAUAUCGGGAGGAACACCAGUGGCGAAGGCGGCCUGUUGGACAUUAACUGACGCUGAGGCGCGAAAGCGUGGGGAGCAAACAGGAUUAGAUACCCCGGUAGUC